AGGUAAGCUACUAAGAGCGAAUGGUGGAUGCCUUGACUGGUAAAGGCGAUGAAGGACGUACUAGACUGCGAUAAGCUACGGGGAGCUGUCAAGAAGCUUUGAUCCGUAGAUUUCCGAAUGGGGCAACCCAAUGUAUAGAGAUAUGCAUUACCUAUAUAGGAGCGAACGAGGGGAAUUGAAACAUCUUAGUACCCUCAGGAAAAGAAAUCAAUAGAGAUUGCGUCAGUAGCGGCGAGCGAAAGCGCAAGAGGGCAAACCCAGUGCUUGCACUGGGGGUUGUAGGACUGCAAUGUGCAAGAGCUGAGUUUAGCAGAACAUUCUGGAAAGUAUAGCCAUAGAGGGUGAUAGUCCCGUAUGCGAAAAACAAAGCUUAGCUAGCAGUAUCCUGAGUAGGGCGGGACACGAGGAAUCCUGUCUGAAUCCGGGUCGACCACGAUCCAACCCUAAAUACUAAUACCAGAUCGAUAGUGCACAAGUACCGUGAGGGAAAGGUGAAAAGAACUGAGGUGAUCAGAGUGAAAUAGAACCUGAAACCAUUUGCUUACAAUCAUUCAGAGCACUAUGUAGCAAUACAGUGUGAUGGACUGCCUUUUGCAUAAUGAGCCUGCGAGUUGUGGUGUCUGGCAAGGUUAAGCAAACGCGAAGCCGUAGCGAAAGCGAGUCUGAAUAGGGCGCUUAGUCAGAUGCUGCAGACCCGAAACGAAGUGAUCUAUCCAUGAGCAAGUUGAAGCUAGUGUAAGAACUAGUGGAGGACUGAACCCAUAGGCGUUGAAAAGCCCCGGGAUGACUUGUGGAUAGGGGUGAAAGGCCAAUCAAACUUCGUGAUAGCUGGUUCUCUCCGAAAUAUAUUUAGGUAUAGCGUUGUGUCGUAAUAUAAGGGGGUAGAGCACUGAAUGGGCUAGGGCAUACACCAAUGUACCAAACCCUAUCAAACUCCGAAUACCUUAUAUGUAAUCACAGCAGUCAGGCGGCGAGUGAUAAAAUCCGUCGUCAAGAGGGAAACAACCCAGACUACCAGCUAAGGUCCCUAAAUCUUACUUAAGUGGAAAACGAUGUGAAGUUACUUAAACAACCAGGAGGUUGGCUUAGAAGCAGCCAUCCUUUAAAGAAAGCGUAAUAGCUCACUGGUCUAGUGAUUUUGCGCGGAAAAUAUAACGGGGCUAAAGUAAGUACCGAAGCUGUAGACUUAGUUUACUAAGUGGUAGGAGAGCGUUCUAUUUGCGUCGAAGGUAUACCGGUAAGGAGUGCUGGAGCGAAUAGAAGUGAGCAUGCAGGCAUGAGUAGCGAUAAUUAAUGUGAGAAUCAUUAACGCCGUAAACCCAAGGUUUCCUACGCGAUGCUCGUCAUCGUAGGGUUAGUCGGGUCCUAAGUCGAGUCCGAAAGGGGUAGACGAUGGCAAAUUGGUUAAUAUUCCAAUACCAACAUUAGUGUGCGAUGGAAGGACGCUUAGGGCUAAGGGGGCUAGCGGAUGGAAGUGCUAGUCUAAGGUCGUAGGAGGUUGUACAGGCAAAUCCGUAUAACAAUACUCCGAGAACUGAAAGGCUUUUUGAAGUCUUCGGAUGGAUAGAAGAACCCCUGAUGCUGUCGAGCCAAGAAAAGUUUCUAAGUUUAGCUAAUGUUGCCCGUACCGUAAACCGACACAGGUGGGUGGGAUGAGUAUUCUAAGGCGCGUGGAAGAACUCUCUUUAAGGAACUCUGCAAAAUAGCACCGUAUCUUCGGUAUAAGGUGUGGUUAGCUUUGUAUUAGGAUUUACUCCGAAAGCAAGGAAACUUACAACAAAGAGUCCCUCCCGACUGUUUACCAAAAACACAGCACUCUGCUAACUCGUAAGAGGAUGUAUAGGGUGUGACGCCUGCCCGGUGCUCGAAGGUUAAUUGAUGGGGUUAGCAUUAGCGAAGCUCUUG
rnacentral:rRNA from 1 species